GGAGAGGUGGUCGAGUGGUUUAAGGCGCAGGCUUGGAAAGUCUGAUUAGGUUUAUUCCUAACGCAGGUUCAAAUCCUGUCCUCUCCG
rnacentral:tRNA from 1 species